rnacentral:lncRNA from 1 species
CUCGACCCUGAAACUUGGAGCAGGGUGGGGGUUCAGUAUGAAGCCCCCGGACCGCCCCGCCCCUGGCCGCACUGACCGGAUACUGGGGGUCAUGGGGGGCAUGCUGCGCGCAUGCGCCCUCCCUGGGCAGGAGGGGCCCCCAAGGAGAAGCCCUCUAGGGUUGGUGGGUACCGAGCCAGAGUCUGAACGUACGGAGGGAGAUCACAGAAGGGAUCGCGAACAUGAGGUCCUCGCCGGGGCUCUGCAGCCCGGCCAAGGCCCCAUCCACUGAGUCCUCCUUCAUCGCAGAGGCCAAGGGGAGACCUGGGCAGACCCUGCAGACAGGCUGAACCCCGACCCCAGCGCUCCGCAGAGCCCGGGAUGCGAGAGGGAGGGGGACCCCGGGGCAGGGGAGCACGGGCUGGGGAGGGGAAAAAGCGCUGGGGACGUGGAGUGGGAACGUGGUGGUG